rnacentral:rRNA from 1 species
UACGGAGGGUGCGAGCGUUGUCCGGAAUCAUUGGGCGUAAAGGGCGCGUAGGUGGCCCGGUCAGUUCGUGGUGAAAGCGCGGGGCUCAACCCUGCGUCGGCCAUGAAUACUGCCGCGGCUGGAGCACUGUAGAGGCAGGCGGAAUUCCGGGUGUAGCGGUGGAAUGCGUAGAGAUCCGGAAGAACACCGGUGGCGAAGGCGGCCGC